CCAUUAAUGGGGUUUCGCCAGGAGAGGGGAGACGCACCAGGAGGAGCCUGACGUGCGUGAGGAAGAAGGGGAGAGGUCCAACGUUGAGAUAGUUCCUGUCACCGCCGUCUACCUCUGUCACUGCUGAUCUGCUGCUCUGUGGUGCUUAGCUGGAGCUUCUGUUACUGUUACCGGAGAUCUGUGGUUGCCGGAAGACACCAUUGUUGUUGCUGCCGAAGGAGGAGGAAGCCUUGCCGCUGUUUUGGCCGUCAGGAGCAGUCCUGUGGCCACCGGAACCACCGCCGGGGAUGCCGCUACUUGGCUCAGUCACUUCUUCUUAGUUGCGCCGCCGUCUGGGUCACGUGGAGGGAGGAAGAGCCGCGAGGUGUCGCCACACCUUGCCUCCGCUGCCUUUGUCGCCAGAAACAGCCACUGAGUCCUCUGUAUUGGUAAGCAUUUCUGAUUCGAAAGGCCUUUGUCACUGCCCUGUAAACUUAUGCUGAGGCGUUGCGGUGUUGUCCAUCAUAGGUUUGUGUAUUCAUACUUGCAUUCCGUGCUCGGAGUUUGUAGCUGCCUCGUUUUGUCAUUUCACUGUUUAUGCUGCUGCAAAAGUGUGUGGGGCUGUGCUUUGAAGCUACCAUUGAUUUUGGGUCGAGACGAAGGAUUUCUGAGAAGC